rnacentral:rRNA from 1 species
AGUGAACGCUGGCGGCAGGCCUAACACAUGCAAGUCGAGCGGCAGCGCGGGGGCAACCCUGGCGGCGAGCGGCGGACGGGUGAGGAAUGCGUCGGAAUCUGCCUCUUUGUGGGGGAUAACGUAGGGAAACUUACGCUAAUACCGCAUACGACCUACGGGUGAAAGUGGGGGACCGCAAGGCCUCACGCCGAGAGAUGAGCCGACGCCGGAUUAGCUAGUUGGCGGGGUAAAGGCCCACCAAGGCGACGAUCCGUAGCUGGUCUGAGAGGAUGAGCAGGAACACUGGAAAUGAGACACGGUCAAGACUGCUAAGGGAGGCAGCAGUGGGGAAUAUUGGGCAAUGGGAGCAAGCCUGAUCCAGCCAUGCCGCGUGUGUGAAGAAGGCCUUCGGGUUGUAAAGCACUUUUGUCCGGAAAGAAAUCCUUUCAGUUAAUACCUGGGAGGGAUGACGGUACCGGAAGAAUAAGCACCGGCUAACUUCGUGCCAGCCGCCGCCGUAAUAC